rnacentral:tRNA from 1 species
GGAGUGGUAGCUCAGUGGUAGAGCACUUGCUUAUCAUGCACAGCCCCUGGGUUCAAUUCCUAGCCCCCUCCC